rnacentral:rRNA from 1 species
AUGAUUCCAGGACCUGGAAUCAUACCAGCCGAUGGUUUGAAGCACUCCUCUGGUUUGAAGGAUAGAUACCUUCCUGGGAUCAAGUGCAUCCUAACUCACCUGCUACCAUAUAACUGGAAUUACCGAUGCAAGUCGAAGAAGGAUUGGCCGGUGUUGCCAGCUGGCGUCAAGUUCGAUCCCACGGAUCAGGAGCUGAUCAAGCACCUUGAGGCCAAAGUGAGUGCUGACAGCGCGAGAUUUCAGUCUCUCAUCGAUUUGUUCAUACCAACCAUCGACAGCGAGCACGGCAUAUGCUACACCCAACCUGAGAAACUUCCAGAUGUUAUGAAAAUGCCAACUAGGUACACUAAAACCUGUAUUCCACAAUACCGCAGGUAUCACACUGAGUGGCCUAAGGAAGCAUUUCUUCCUGCGCAAUUCCAGGGCAUUCAAAAGGGGCACGUGGACGCGUCGCAAGAUACAGUCGGAGUGCGGCAUGCACGCGAUGUGGCACAAGACCGGCAAGACCUUGCCAGUGAUGGUCAACGGCCGGCAAGACGGGCAGCAAAAAAGGUUCUGGUGCUGCACACCAACAAGAACUUCGACCAGCAGAGGACCAACUGGGUGAUGCACCAGUACCACCUCGGGGACCUGGGGCAAGAGAAGGAGCGGGAGCUGGUCCUCUGCAAGAUUUUCUACCAGACGAACACUAGGGCCAGGAGUAAAAAGAUUAUAAGUUAG